rnacentral:rRNA from 1 species
GACGAACGCUGGCGGCGUGCCUAACACAUGCAAGUCGAGCGGGGAACAGAUGGUAGCUUGCUACUGUUUGUUUCUAGCGGCGGACGGGUGAGUAACGCGUGAGCAACCUGCCUUUAUCAGGGGGAUAACGCAUCGAAAGAUGUGCUAAUACCGCGUAAGACCACAGCUUCACAUGGAGCGGGGGUCAAAGGAGCAAUCCGGAUAAAGAUGGGCUCGCGUCCGAUUAGCUAGUUGGUGAGAUAACAGCCCACCAAGGCGACGAUCGGUAGCCGACCUGAGAGGGUGAUCGGCCACAUUGGAACUGAGAGACGGUCCAGACUCCUACGGGAGGCAGCAGUGGGGAAUAUUGGGCAAUGGGCGAAAGCCUGACCCAGCAACGCCGCGUGAGGGAAGAAGGGUUUCGGCUCGUAAACCUCUGUCCUAUGGGACGAAGGAAGUGACGGUACCAUAGGAGGAAGU